GUAUUGUAUUGCGUUAAACGCGACAUACAUUCCAUAAGACUUUAUCACUGAGUGUGUGUGUAAAGACAUAGAACCACAGUGGGAGGACAGUGUCCCCCACACCACAGAACUACAGAGGGUGCACAGGUGUGAGUGGGUUUGUAAACAGAGUGUGCACAUGCCCCCAUCUGAGGACCAGCAACAACUCGUGUCGACAGUUCAGUAAUGAUCCUUCCGCAGGUUCACCUACGGAAA
rnacentral:misc_RNA from 1 species